AUGCUCAUUUCAGCAGCACAUAUACUAAAAUGAGAAUGAUACAGAGAAGAUUAACACGGCCCCUGAACAAAGAUGGCAUGCAAAUUUGUGAAGAAUUUCAUAUAACU